CAUGAGCCACCGCACCCAGCCGGGUGUUUCUUUACAGCAAUCAGAAAAUAGACUAAUACAGGGACAGGUGCCUGACAUGGAAGGAACAUCCAUCUUGGACUACAUGGAGUGAAAAGCAAGGGCUGAAUACGAUGGAACAAGAAGACGGAAGACGCCUGUCUUCUCAGGAUGGUGGUGCCAUUAUGCCAGCUGAAUCUAUGUGCAACAAAAAGAAACCAAGA
rnacentral:lncRNA from 1 species